rnacentral:rRNA from 1 species
AUGGAGGGAGUAUAUCAGUUCUCAAGGGUUCUAGGCACCACAAAUUUUGUUAGGUUGUUUAUUCGUUCCUACAAUAAUAGGUGCCACUCUACAAACACUGCACAUAUAUGGUUAUACUUCCGUCAUAGCUGUCAAGCCAAGAAAAUGCAAAUUAUAUCUCAGUUUGGAUUGAAAAUUUUGGCUUAUCUUAUUAUGUUUCUUAGUCCAGUGCUUUUGCUCUGUGAGCCACAUGUGGUGGUUGGUAGCUGUUGUGCCAUUUCGGUGCGGACUAAUACAGCUGACACACAUUUGAUGCGUGUUUGA